rnacentral:rRNA from 1 species
UACGUAGGGGGCGAGCGUUAUCCGGAAUUACUGGGCGUAAAGCGCACCGCAGGCGGUUCGCCAAGUUUGGAGUGACAGUUGUCGGCUCAACCGACAAAGGACUUCAAAAACUGGUGAACUUGAGGACGAGAGAGGAACGUGGAACUCCCGGUGUAGCAGUAAAUGCGCUAGAGAUCGGGGAGGAACAUCUGUGGCGAAGGCGACUGCCUGGGACCAGCACUGACACUGAGGCACGAAAGCGUGGGGAGCAAACAGG